UUUUCUUCUUCUCUUUUUCUUUAAUUUCUGCCGAACCCUAGCUAACCAAAAGACACCAUUUUAUUAGCUAACCAAAAGACACCAUUUUAUUUUCUUCAUCAAGCCAAAAUAAGACAUGUCAGCGAGCAGAGAGGUCAGUAGACAUGGGGUAGCGAGGAUAUAUCAUUUCAUCGACCACGUCAUUGAUUGGAUUGCGGUCACAGCAUUUACUAUGUGGACCUAACUAGAGGCCAAUUUUGAAGUCCAGAAGUCAGUUGUGUAUGUAUAGUUUCUGACUUCUGUGAAUACUGCAGUAGUGGUCCUGAGUUGACAGAGUUGUAGCCUAGACAGCAGUACAUUUUGAUUGUACAUAUGACUUGCUGUCCUGUUUAUAUGUUUUUGAUAGGCUACAGGUAGUAUGUUUUGUUCACGGCACCAGAUGCCGGUGAUAUGUUUUGAUACACUAACUAACUGAUGUAUAUAGUACCGCGAGUCCAGUUCGUACAGGGUACGAUAACUAGAGCCCGCGAGGUUUUUGAACAGUUAGUGUAAAUACUUGAUUAUAUGUUAUAUA